ACUCAACUGAGCUGAGGAAACUAUAAAACAAUAGAGGUCAUGCCUGUGGCAGCUGGAGAGACCUGCCAUGCCUAAAGAGUAACAGGGAGAGAACAAGGCAUGCUAAGAAAAAUGAGGCUGCAACAUCUGCUGUGCCCAAAGUGAAGGACUGGAUCCCUCAACAGCCAGCACCUCAGAGGCCAGUGAAAGUGGAAAUAACCACCUACCAUUGUAUGAAGGUCUGUGAAGACUGAUCUCACAAGGAUAAUAGAGAGGUAGAAAGUCCUAGAAGUGGUCACAAAGCGCUGAGCUGAUCUCCCUGUGCUGUGUGUAGGCCAAGGACUUGACAGGUCAGUUCAGUGACUGAAGAGAGAAAUUCCUGAAAUAAAGGUCC